rnacentral:rRNA from 1 species
AGUGAACGCUGGCGGUAGGCCUAACACAUGCAAGUCGAACGGCAGCACAGUAAGAGCUUGCUCUUACGGGUGGCGAGUGGCGGACGGGUGAGGCAUACAUCGGAAUCUACUUUUUCGUGGGGGAUAACGUAGGGAAACUUACGCUAAUACCGCAUACGACGUACGGGUGAAAGCAGGGGAUAUUCGGACCUUGCGCGAUUGAAUGAGACGAUGUCGGAUUAGCUAGUUGGCGGGGUAAAGGCACACCAAGGCGACGAUCCGUAGCUGGUCUGAGAGGAUGAUCAGCCACACUGGAACUGAGACACGGUCCAGACUCCUACGGGAGGCAGCAGUGGGGAAUAUUGGACAAUGGGCGCAAGCCUGAUCCAGCCAUACCGCGUGGGUGAAGAAGGCCUUCGGGUUGUAAAGCCCUUUUGUUGGGAAAGAAAAGCAGCAGGUUAAUACCCCGCUGUUCUGACGGUACCCAAAGAAUAAGCACCGGCUAACUUCGUG